UUAAUUUAUUUUAUAAUAUCUUUAUAAAUACUGCCAUAUAUUAAUUUUAAUAUAUAAAAAUUAAAGUUAAAAAUUAAUGUGAAAUGUUAAAACAAAACAAUUUUUUUACUCAUAAUAUCGAUAUUACAUGGAAAACGUUCGUUCGAGAAACUUGCGAUACUAUUCCAACAAUAUUUACUGAAAAGAAAGAUCAUUGCUUAUAUUUCAAAGGAGAUGAAGCAAAGAAGGCAUACGAAGAAAUUAUAUCCGAACAAAGUGAUAUGAUUUUACAAUCUGAACAUAAACAUAAAUUAAAAACAUUUAAUAAUUGCAAUUCAAUAUCAAAACCGUUUUCGUCGAAUGAAAAAAAGAAGAAUCAAUUUACUCAGGAAAAAGUGACAAUCAAUACAAUAUUAAAAGCAGUAGAACAAAAAGACUUAAAAUUUUUAUCAAAAUAUGUAACAUGGGAAAAUGUUAAUUUGACUGAUGAUUUUGGUUGGACUCCUCUCAUGUCAGCUGCAUAUUGUGGUCAUUUGGAUAUUAUAGAAUUUUUAUUAAACCUUGGUGCCAAUAAAAAAGCCAAAGAAAAAUCUGGUCUUACUGCGGCACAAUUGGCAUUAAAAAAAAAUUAUUUGAAUAUAGUUGCAUUACUUAAGAAAAAAUCAGAAUCUGUAUGUAACAAAACAUUACAAGAAAAAGAUACAAAUGAUUCAGAAAAAAAUGCAAAUACUUUAUUACAGAUAAAAUCAGAAUCUAUAGGACUUUUGAAAAAUUAUAAAGACAAUAUACAUAGAGAUAAUGAUAAUAUAGAGGAGGGAUUCAAUGAGGGAUUUUAUUGUAAAAUUUGCAAAACUAAUUUUUACCAAACAACUUGGAAGAAACAUGAAACAUCUACACUUCAUAUUUUCAAUAGUAAACCAAAAUUAAAAAACACAAUGUAUGGGAUAUCAAAACAAAAUAAAGGUUAUAAAAUAUUAUUAAAUUGUGGAUGGGAUGAACAAGGUGGUCUUGGUCCUACAGGAAAAGGAAUAAAAUAUCCUAUUAAAACCUGUUUAAAAUCUGAUAGAAAAGGACUAGGACAAUGUAAUGAAAAAGAAUAUAGAGUGACUCAUUUUAAACCUAAAGAUCCUGCAGCAGUUAGUGAUUUUAGAACAUUUAAACAAAAAUGUUUGAAGAAGAAAGAUAGAGAAAAAUUACUUGAUAGGGAAGUUAGAAGAGAGAAAGCAUUACGUAUUGCUUUGUCUUAAAAUAAUACAUAAAUGAUUAAUAUUUGAUAAUAUUUCUAAGACUGAAUAGAAUAUGAAAUUUGAUCAGCAAAAGGCUUUAAAACAUAUACAACAAGUGGAAGAAAAAGCAGGUGAGAUUCUUACUGAUCGACAAGAAAUAAUUGCUUUGGAUAAAAAAAGAAAUAAUGAUAGAGUUGGAAUGAGGGCACUGCAGA